rnacentral:rRNA from 1 species
GACAGAGGCCUCGAGCGUUAGGCGGAAUCACUGGGCUUAAAGCGUGUGUAGGCGGGCCCGUAAGUACCUUGUGAAAUCCCACGGCUCAACCGUGGAACGGCUGGGUAUACUGCGGGUCUUGGGCCAACUAGGGGCAGCCGGAACAAGCGGUGGAGCGGUGAAAUGCGUAGAUAUCGCUUGGAACGCCGAAGGUGAAAACAGGCUGCUGGGGUUGCGCCGACGCUGAGACACGAAAGCCAGGGGAGCAAACAGG